rnacentral:ncRNA from 1 species
CGUGUCGUAGGCUAAGUCCGCGCGGCAGAUGCGCCGCGUGGGCUGCCUUAAAGUACAAUUCCUCCCGAGUGGCAGGUUGAAUCCCUUGUAGACGACUUAAAUAUGCGACGGGGUAUUGUAAGUGGCAGAGUGGUCUUGGUGCCGCGAUCCACUAAGAUUCAGCCCUAUGUCUCUUCGAUUCGU